GUUGAUUUCUCUGGCUUGACUUCAUCGCUUCCAAUGCACCACAAGCUCCCUCUUUAAGUAGUUCCAGUUCACCAUCAUCGCUGAAGUGGCCUUUGGAGAUCUCUGGAAAGCUGCACUGGACAACACUUUACUGAAGAAGAAUAACCAUAUCUGCCGUUAUUUUCCAGCAGGAUUCAUUUUGUUGAAGACACAAAACAAAAGCCUUUCUGUCACUGGACAUGUCAUUCUCCCGUGCUGCAGCCAGCCUUUGUCUUUCCAGAUUUGCUGAGUGUGCUCCAAGGGACUGCAGCAGUGCUUUGCUGCUAGCUCUUGUCCUGCUUCCCGGAGAGCCAUUGUGCUGCACUGUGAGCAGGCAGGAUACUCGCCCCAGAGUGAGCUGUGAUGGAGGGACUGACACUGAAACUGCUGGAGAGGUAACAACACCGUUCCCACAAGCAGCCUUUCCGUGGCAGCUGUGUCCCACAUUGAGUCCUCUCCCUUUCUGUUACCUGAGACCUCAGGUGCAUUUAAGUAACACAGGAUUUGCAAAUGUCUCUCAGCACUACUCUGAGGAAGAAGAUAUACAUGUAUUUGGUGAGUCUUCUGUCUCCUAG
rnacentral:lncRNA from 1 species